GAAGAAAACGUUGCAGACGACAAAAUGACAAAGUGACGUCAUCUGUGGUAUCCUGAAGAGCGACAUCUUACGUGAGAAAAAGAUGACUAUGGUCUGUCCAUGUUUCUUAUUGACAAUGUAUCUCCACAUCCAAACAAGACUAUACUAUGAGCAAAACAAAUUUCAAUGUGCAAUUUGACUUAUCUAAAGAAAAUAUUACAGUCCAAAUAUUAUUAAUUAAUCAACGUUCUGACCAAACGAGAAAGAAGGGAAUUACAGCAGUCGAAGGUGCUCUAACAUUUGGUCCUUCGAGCCGGAUAUCCUCUGAAGCUAAUGCUGACAUCGAUCCUAGGAACGGUAAUCUCUGGAAAUCGUCUUAAAUACUUUUGAAACUGUACGGAACAAUUUAAGCCAUUGUCAAUGCACCCUUUCAUAUUUCUUCAUUAUAUUUCGAUUUAAAUUAUAUUAUGUAUUAAUUUUGUUAAAGUUAAGUUUAAUAGUUGCUUUAAAGACCUUUGACUUGCUUUUUCUGAUCACUGUUUGGUGUUUAUCGUGCAUAUCUUUAUAUAUACAGUGUUCAGAAGCAAACGUGGACUGUUAAUAAAUACUAAUUAUGUAAUUAAAAUAGAGGUAUUUUGUGAUUUUUCCUACAUAUUCCGAAUCUCCUGUCCUUUUUUGCAUAAAUAAACAUUUCUCAAGCCUUUCAUUAUGAGUGAGCCAAGAUACUAAUAGACAAGGUGUCAGAGACGCUAUUUCCAUGAAAAUUUUAUUGGUCCACACGGCCAAUUCUGUGAAGUUAUAUAUAUAAAAUAUCAGGAUGUAUAAAUAUAAUUAAAGAACUUGUAAACUGAAACAGCUAACUAUAUUAUGUUUUAUUAAGCUAGGGAUUGCUUUUAUUUGUCGUCUUGACGUCAUAUCUGUCUGGCGAGAUUAAAAAAAAAUGAUGACUGACCUACCUUGUCUCUAAGUAUCUUGGAGUGAGAAAGAAGGAAAAAGGCAGAGGAUCUCUGACCUUCUGGAUGCCAUAAUUGAGGUUGCAGAGAUUAUGGACAUUGUGAAGUGCUCCAGGAGCCUCAUUUUCAAGGUGACCAAGAUGAAAAGGAUGGAAAAGACCUAUCAAGGAAAGAAAGAAGUGAGAGACUCAACUUGAAAAGGGAUUCUGAGGGACUUUAAAAAGAAGAUGAAGGAGGGCCCCACAAAAUGCAUAAAUCGACUCUAUAACGAGUUUGACGUGGACGAGGGGAAAAUCAGGAGGGCUGUGAAGGAGGACUUGGGGGUGUCCUCUUACACAAGGACCCCACGCCACUUGUUGACGGACACUCUGAAGGAAAGGAGACUGCAGAGGUGCAAGAUAGUUUGUGCGUCAAGGCAAAGGGAUCCGAAGUAAAAAAUUCUCUGACAAGAAGAUUUUAGCCGUGGACCAGGUCUACGACCGUCGGAACGACCGUUGGCUUGGGGAAUCUCCAGAGAAGUUCAAGGGGUGUUCCGUACAAGACAAUGGUGCUGGGGGGUCGUGACGUCCUACGUCAAGAAGAUGCCUCCCUUCUUCUUUAAGGCUAGGGAGAAAAUCGGGCAGGAGGCCUACUACAAGGUGCUGGGGUUCACCAUACUCCUAUGGCUCAAGGCUACCUAUCCAGAGGACAACUAUGUGUGAACCCAAGAUGGUGCACCCUCACACACAUCGGCCAAAUGGCAGAAGUUCUGCGACGACAACAUGGCUGAUUUUUAGCCCAAGGUCAUGUGGCCAUCAUUUUCGCCGUAUUUGAACCCGUUGGACUUUGUUGUGUGGGUCACUUUGGAGAGGGAGGCUAAUCAGACAUCUCACCCGAACGUGGACUCCCUGAAGUCUGCCAUUGUGAAAGAGUGGAACAACUUGUCCGAGAAGUUCAUUAUCAACUCCUGCAAGGCUUUCCGCCGCUGUGUGGAGACUGUGAUUACUGCUGAGGGUGGCCAUAUUGAGUGAACAUGUUCACAAAGGUCGUGUCUCAAAGUUUUGUUUAAAAAAAUUUCAAAAUUAUUGACAUUUUUCUAAAAAUCAGUCAUUCAGUCCAUGUUUUGCUUCCGAACCCCGUAUUAGUGUUCUGUUUAAGUUAAUUUAACAUAUAAAAAUCACUAAAGGGUCGGAGGUAAUAUACCAUAAAAUUAGGGAUAGUUUUUUUUUACAAUUAAGUCUGAUUUCUAGGUGAGCUAGAUUAAGGUAAUUUGGAUCUUCAAGAAUCAGAGUCCUUAUUACACACAAAAUAUCAAAGAGUAGUUAUUUUAGAUGCUCAUGAUGAGGUUGAAAGGAAGUUUUCAAAAUGGAGUAGGAUACUUAGAUCAUUUAAAAGAGAGAAGUUAAGUGAAGAAGCUGAGGAUAAGAAGAAAGAACAAAAUGACGAGAUGAGUAGGCUUAAAGAGAUUAUGGAACUUAAGAUUAAGGUUGGCACUGUUGGUUGUACCCCUAAAUUAGAGAACUGUGGUUCUGAUAACAGGUUGCCUUCCUCACUAAAGUUGACUCUUCCCUUCUUUGAUGGUAAGGUGGAAGAAUUUUAAAGCUGGUUAGAGACAUUUCACAGUAUAAUUGGUGAUCAAGACAUUUCUUCCGUAUCAAAAUUCACAUAUCUACGUUCCGCAUUAAAUGGCUCAGCGUUGCUACGAAUUUCAGGUCUUUCCAUUUCUAAUAUGACGAAGCUUUCAAAAUACUCACAGAUUCUUAUGGUAAGGGUCGUGUAGUGAUUUCAAUGCUUAUUGUUAUGUAUUGUCUUUUAUUUACUUUUAGAUCAUGACGUAGGGAUUUGUUUUAAAUAGUUAGUAAUGUACCUUGUGUUUAACGAGUUGGUAUAUUUUAAUAGUCAUAUAGUAUGUACAUCCUUUUAGAUGUAAUCCCUUAUUGAAUGUAUAUUUUAGUGUAUGAUUGUACCCCCAAUCCAAAGGUGUUCUUAUCGACUUUACUCCGGUCCGUUGCUUCCGUUUGUUGGUGGUGUUCGUAGAACAUUACACUUAUACAUCAACUCAUUAACAUACCAAGUGUUAAAGAUAACUCUAAAGAUCUACGCAAAUUUCAUGCGACAUCUUGCUCCUACAAAGGUCUCUAAGGGGCAACGAUGUUUGUAUUGGUAAUAUAGAUACAAGAAAAUUCAUUCUGCCAAUUUUGGAAUAUAUAUUUUUAGGAGUUUAAUUCAUUUCUAGAAGCUUUUACUUUAAAUCACUAGAACUUUUUUGUUCAGUGUUCUCACAAAAACUAAUUAGCAUUUCCCAAAAGUAUGAUUAUUAAUAGUUAAUAAACAUUGAUUACGCAAAGAGCAUUUGAAUUUUAUGACUACACAAAAAUAAUUUUAUAGGAGUUUUGAAAUGAGAGUAGGUAUUUAUAAGUGAUUUUUUUUUCUUUCUCAGAUCCCAUUUCGUAUUUUUUUAUACUCUAAAUGCUUCUAUGAAUUCAUUUGUUAUAAAAAUAUUGUUUUGAAAUUUGUAUUGAGCUAUUUUUUCUUAUAUUAAAAAAGUGUUGUAAAAAUAAACCAAAAUCUGAAACUGGGUUCCAACAUGUAAAAAGAAAAUAAUGAAUUGGCAUAUAAUUACCAAAAUGGAAUUUAUUCUAAAUCUUAUACCUAUUGUUCUAUUGUGUUAAAAAUAUAACUAUGUGGUGCGUCAACAUAAAAACAAUCCUGAACAAAAAUCAAGAAAUGGAGAAACUCCCAAUUAAUUUUUUUAUUUGAUAUAUUUACAUAUAGACCAUAUUGGCAGAAAUUGAAGAUAUUAAACAAAAAAAUACAAAUCCAAUCCACCCUCAAUUUUGAAAAAAAUAGCUAAAAAAUAUCAUUUUAGCUUGCUUUUGUGUUGACGAACAAUAUAUAUAUAAAAAAAUGUUAUGAUGUUAAAGUAGUUAUGUUAGAUUUUUUUUUAAAUGAUAACAUUGUUCCUGUUUCUUUACUCUUUGAAUUAAAUUUUACACUGUAUUACCUCACUAACAUAAA
rnacentral:lncRNA from 1 species